GAAUCUUGCACAAUGGAGGAAACUCUGAUGCAGCGACGCCGCGUGAGCGAUGAAGCCUUUCGGGGUGUAAAGCUCUUACGCCAGGGACGAUCGUGACGGUACCUGGAGAAGCAGCUGCGGCUAACUACGUGCCAGCAGCCGCGGUAAUACGUAGGCAGCAAGCGUUGUUCGGAAUUACUGGGCGUAAAGGGUGCGUAGGCGGUGCUCUAAGUUUGGUGUGAAAUCUCCCGGCUCAACUGGGAGGGUGCGCCGAAAACUGGGGUGCUUGAGUGCGGGAGAGGAAAGCGGAAUUCCUGGUGUAGCGGUGAAAUGCGUAGAGAUCAGGAGGAACACCUGCGGUGUAGACGGCUUUCUGGACCGUAACUGACGCUGAGGCACGAAAGCGUGGGGAGCAAACAGG
rnacentral:rRNA from 1 species